rnacentral:rRNA from 1 species
UACCAGCUCUUCGAGUGGUGUGGAUGUUUAUUGGGCCUAAAGCAUCCGUAGCUGGCUGGGCAAGUCCCCUGUUAAAUCCACCGAUUUAAUCGUCGGAGUGCGGGUGAUACUGUUCGGCUAGGGGACGGGAGAGGCAGACGGUAUUUUCGGGGUAGGGGUGAGAUCCUAUAAUCCCGGGAAGACCACCAGUGGCGAAGGCUGUCUGCUAGAACGCGCCCGACGGUGAGGGAUGAAAGCUGGGGGAGCGAACCGGAUUAGAUACCCGGGUAGUCCCAGCUGUAAACGAUGCAGGCUAGGUGUUUGGGCGGCCACGUGCCGCUCUAGUGCCGCAGGGAAGCCGUUAAGCCUGCCGCCGUGGGGAGUACGGCCGCAAGGCUAGAAACUUAAAGGAAUUGGCGGGGGAGCACCACGAAGGGGUGAAGCUUGCGGUUU